GCCAGUGUGGCUUAGUGGUUUGAGCUUUGGACUACAACUCUGGAGACCGGGAUUCGAUUCCCAGCUUGGCCA